CUACGGGAGGCAGCAGUGGGGAAUAUUGCACAAUGGAGGAAACUCUGAUGCAGCAACGCCGCGUGGAGGAUGACACUUUUCGGAGCGUAAACUCCUUUUAUAUGUCAAGAAGAUGACGGUACUAUAUGAAUAAGCGCCGGCUAACUCCGUGCCAGCAGCCGCGGUAAUACGGAGGGCGCAAGCGUUACUCGGAAUCACUGGGCGUAAAGAGCGUGUAGGCGGAUUAAAAAGUCAGAAGUGAAAUCCUAUAGCUUAACUAUAGAACUGCUUCUGAAACUCUUAAUCUAGAAUAUGGGAGAGGUAGAUGAAAUUUCUGGUGUAGGGGUAAAAUCCGUAGAGAUCAGAAGGAAUACCGAUUGCGAAGGCGAUCUACUAGAACAUUAUUGACGCUGAGACGCGAAAGCGUGGGGAGCAAACAGGAUUAGAUACCCCUGUAGUC
rnacentral:rRNA from 1 species